UAGAAUUGACGGGCCGCACAAGCGGUGAGCAUGUGGUUAAUUCGAAGCAACGCGCAGACCUUACAGCUCUUGACAUGGCAGGACGGUUUCCAGAGAUGGACUCUUCCCUUCGGGACCUGCACACAGGUGCUGCAUGGCUGUCGUCAGCUCGUGUCGUGAGAUGUUGGGUUAAGUCCCGCAACGAGCGCAACCCUUGUCAUUAGUUGCUACGAAAGGGCACUCUAAUGAGACUGCCGGUGACAAACCGGAGGAAGGUGGGGAUGACGUCAAGUCCUCAUGGCCCUUAUAGGUGGGGCUACACACGUCAUACAAUGGCUGGUACAAAGGGUUGCCAACCCGCGAGGGGGAGCCAAUCCCAUAAAGCCAGUCGUAGUCCGGAUCGCAGUCUGCAACUCGACUGCGUGAAGUCGGAAUCGCUAGUAAUCGUGGAUCAGCAUGUCACGGUGAAUACGUUCCCGGGUCUU
rnacentral:rRNA from 1 species